rnacentral:lncRNA from 1 species
CAGAAAGAUGAUGAUCAGCUACUGAUUUCCACCAGCUUCCCCAUCAGGCAGCCAGUCUCUCUUCGUUCAGUCAUUGCAUUCGCAUCUAUGAACUCUGCAGGACGUGGGGUAUGCCAUAAGCAGUCAAAUCAUAUUCCUCUCUUCUCCCCAAGACAUGGGCAGCUAUGAUGAGCAGAAAGUACCUGCUUGCUAGUCAAAAAGGCUGUAGUGUAGCCUAUUAGCAAUUCCCUCCUUUAGUUUACUCAAUCACUCUAUUCACCAGGUGCAUCAAGGAAUCACUCCCCCUCUGGGCCAGUGCAAAAGAUAGAUUAAUUAUGUUAAUCAUCCACUCUAGGCAGCUAAUGUACAAAACACCCCUCCCAGUGCCCCCUCCCCCCCAUUCCUCCAGUAAUUCUUUUCCAUCUACACUUCUUACAUCUGGGUGUUCCCUGAAUGCCUGACUUUGCAUGGGGACAAGGUCUGGAGACAGAAGUCAAUCCUUUUCUCUAGUCAUUCACCAGCCAGAGCAUAUGACCAAGAUGAUAUUCUGCAUUAUGGGAUGCUAUCCGUUCUGGACAAUGGACAUCCAUCAAGCCAUGGAGAUCCACCAAGAAGUGAAGAAGUGCAUCCAUGGAAUCUUGGUUUCAUCAUGAAGACUGUUAAGUGUAGGUGAAGUCCAGUUUAUUCAAAACAAAAAUUUUGUAGUCAGAUUCUCACUAAAACAUAAAAUCUGUUGGACACGACUACAGAAGAACAUGAUUGAAUUAAGAAUUUAAAUUCAUUUUUUAUUUACCACAAAAUUCAUUCUGAAUACAUAGUAUUAUAUUAUAUAUUGAAAGAGUGGAGACAAGAAACAGAAGGAAUGAUACCCAUACCAAUGAUACCCAUGAUACCCUUAGGGAACAUUCAUGAGUUUUUUUUCAAAUGCUGUUUGUUUUGCAUGUUUUAAAAUUUUAACUUUGCUUUGGGUAUGUCAUUUCCCAUUAGAUUGUAAAUGUGACAUAUUCUUGUGUAUCAGCUCUACUGUUCUGUGAAAUGGCACUGAAAUACUGUAGAUGUUUUAUCAAUUAAAUAAAUAAAGGUCC